UACAGAGGGUGCAAGCGUUGUUCGGAAUUAUUGGGCGUAAAGGGCGCGUAGGCGGUGCGGUAAGUCUUUUGUGAAAUCUCCGGGCUCAACUCGGAGUCUGCAGGAGAAACUGCCGUGCUGGAGUAUGGGAGAGGUGAGUGGAAUUCCCGGUGUAGCGGUGAAAUGCGUAGAUAUCCGGAGGAACCCCAGAGGCGAAGGCGGCGCCCUGGCUCGCAACUGACGCUGAUACACGACAGCAUGGGGAGCGAACGGG
rnacentral:rRNA from 1 species